rnacentral:tRNA from 1 species
GGGAUUGUGGCUCACUGGUAGAGCACUUGCCUAGCAUGUGUGAGGUACUGGGUUCAAUCCCCAGCACCA